GUGCAGCAGCCAUGGCUACAGCAAGACCCCCCUGGAUGUGGGUUCUCUGUGCUCUGAUCACAGCCUUGCUUCUGGGGGCUACAGAGCAUGUUCUCGCCAACAAUGAUGUCUCCUGUGACAACCCCUCUAACACCGUGCCCUCUGGGAGCAACCAGGACCCGGGAGCUGGGGCCGAGGAAGACGCCCGGUCGGAUGACAGCAGCAGCCGCAUCAUCAAUGGGUCCGACUGUGAUGAGCACACUCAGCCGUGGCAGGCUGCGCUGUUGCUAAGGCCCAACCAGCUCUACUGCGGGGCGGUGUUGGUGCAUCCACAGUGGCUGCUCACGGCCGCCCACUGCAGGAAAAAAGUUUUCAGAGUCCGUCUCGGCCACUACUCCCUGUCACCAGUUUAUGAAUCUGGGCAGCAGAUGUUCCAGGGGAUCAAAUCCAUCCCCCACCCUGGCUACUCCCACCCUAGCCAUUCUAAUGACCUCAUGCUCAUCAAACUGAACAGAAGAAUUCGUUCCACUAAAGAUGUCAGACCCAUCAACGUCUCCUCUCAUUGUCCCUCUGCUGGGACAAAGUGCUUGGUAUCUGGCUGGGGAACAACCAAGAGCCCCCAAGGUGAGUGUCCAGGUUCUUCUUGAUACCGACCCAUCUCUGCCGCCUUCCAUCUUUCUCCACCUCUCACUGUGUUCCUGUUUGACAGUGCACUUCCCUAAGGUCCUCCAGUGCUUGAACAUCAGUGUGCUAAGUCAGAAAAGGUGCAAGGAUGCCUACCCGAGACAGAUAGAUGACACCAUGUUCUGCGCCGGUGACAAAGCAGGUAGAGACUCCUGCCAGGGUGAUUCUGGGGGGCCUGUGGUCUGCAACGGCUCCCUGCAGGGACUCGUGUCCUGGGGAGAUUACCCAUGUGCCAAGCCCAACAGACCGGGUGUCUACACCAACCUCUGCAAGUUCACUAAGUGGAUCCAGGAAACCAUCCAGGCCAACUCCUGAGUCAUCCCAGGACUCAGCACACCAGCAUCCCCACCUGCUGCAGGGACAGCCCUGACACUCCUUUCAGAACCUCAUUACUUCCCAGAGAUGUUGAGAAUGUUCAUCUCUCCAGCCCCUGACCCCAUGUCUCCUGGACUCAGAGUCCGCUUCCCCCACAGUGGGCUGACCCUGUCUCUCUAGUUGAACCCUGGGAAUAAUUUCCAAAACUGUCCAGGGCGGGGGUUGCAUCUCAACCUCCCUGGGGCACUUUCAUCCUCAAGCUCAGGGCCCAUCCCUUCUCUGCAGCUCUGACCCAAAUUUAGUCCCAGAAAUAAACUGAGAAG
rnacentral:sRNA from 1 species